CUGUCACAAAAUGUCCGGUAAUUGUAGGCGCUUAAUCAACCGCACCAAGCCGUCUCAACUGGUCGGUCAUUCGUUGAAUCACUCUUAAGAUCCUAACAGGCCUCUAAAACACAAAGUUUUGCUUCUGCGGCGGUAGAGUUGUACCAAGCUCGUCUAAUAAAGUGCCCCAACUAAUCGGAUUUAACUACAAUUUUGCCGUUAGUGCUUUGAACUCGAACAGUCGUAAAGUCUUCGCCGCCUCAAGCUGCCAUGUUAGUAUAUUUGCAAAUUGUCUCUACCGCCUCUUCUUACGGCGGCAAAUCAACACCAAUCAUGAUGGCAGCCAAAUUAGCAAGCAUUUAAAGAAGGGGAACAAGCUGUAUUCUAUCAAAAAGCAGGCGAUUUGGAUGACUUCGCCGCCAAACGACAGGUGAUCUGCGAAAAUGAUGAACUUCAAAUUUUGUUCAUUAUCCGCAGACCAAACGCGAGUGGGCAAUGGACAACGACUGCACAUUGCUAUGAACAGGUGCCGCGAUGAGUCGAGCUGGAAAAAGCGCCACUAAAUAACCUUGGUGGCCUUGAAUCUAAGCGGGGUGCUUAAUCUUCGGUAGGUAGUCGUCAGUGAGUAUUUACCUGAUUGCAUCGGAGGCGGUGAAAGGUGCGCAAUGCAGCAGCAGCAUGGAUAAGGGGGAUUGGUGUGAAAUGCGCGAACAUCAACUCAAACUUCAAUAAACCAUAACAUUAUUUUAAUCUUGGGAAUGUGUUUUGUCUGUUAUGCACAAUAUAAUUGAUU